AGAGUUUGAUCCUGGCUCAGGACGAACGCUGGCGGCGUGCUUAACACAUGCAAGUCAAGGAGAACGGGAAUCUUCGGAAUCCCUAUUAAACUGGCGAACGGGUGAGUAACACGUAGGUAACCUGCCCUAGAGACCGGGAUAACACUGCCAACGCGGUGCUAAUACCGGAUACAACAACAGAAUCACAUGUUUUUGUUGUGAAAGCUGCCUUCGGGUAGUACUUUAGGAUGGACCUGCGUCCCAUUAGUUUGUUGGUAGGGUAACGGCCUACCAAGACAGCGAUGGGUAGCCGGCCUGAGAGGGUGAACGGCCACACUGGGACUGAGAUACGGCCCAGACUCCUACGGGAGGCAGCAGUGAGGAAUAUUGGGCAAUGGCCGAAAGGCUGACCCAGCAACGCCGCGUGAGGGAUGAAGCUCUAAGGAGUGUAAAGUUCUGUUAGGAGGGACGAAUAGUAUCCAAGCGAAUAGGCCCUAGAUCUGACGGUACCUUAGGAAUAAGGGACGGCUAACUCCGUGCCAGCAGCCGCGGUAAUACGGAGGUCCCAAGCGUUGUUCGGAUUUACUGGGCGUAAAGGGAGCGCAGGCGGAUCGGUAAGUGGAAAGUGGAAUUCCGGGGCUCAACCUCGGAAGUGCUUUCCAAACUGUCGGUCUUGAGUACGUGAGAGGAAGGCGGAAUUCAGGGUGUAGCGGUGAAAUGCUUAGAUAUCCUGAGGAACACCAAUGGCGAAAGCAGCCUUCUGGCACGAAACUGACGCUGAGGCUCGAAAGCGUGGGGAGCGAACAGGAUUAGAUACCCUGGUAGUCCACGCCGUAAACGUUGUAUACUAGGUGUAGGAGGUAUCGACCCCUCCUGUGCCGCAGCUAACGCAUUAAGUAUACCGCCUGGGGAGUACGCGCGCAAGCGUGAAACUCAAAGGAAUUGACGGGGGCCCGCACAAGCGGUGGAGCAUGUGGUUUAAUUCGAGGCAACGCGAAGAACCUUACCCAGACUUGACAUCUCGAGACAUCCCUGGAAACAGGGCUUUCCCUUCGGGGACUCGAAGACAGGUGUUGCAUGGCUGUCGUCAGCUCGUGUCGUGAGAUGUUGGGUUAAGUCCCGCAACGAGCGCAACCCCUGUUCUCAGUUACCAGCACGUUAUGGUGGGCACUCUGAGGAGACUGCCGGUGAUAAGCCGGAGGAAGGUGGGGACGACGUCAAGUCAUCAUGGCCCUUACGUCUGGGGCUACACACGUGCUACAAUGGCCGGUACAAUGAGCUGCAAUGCCGCGAGGUGGAGCUAAUCUCAAAAAGCCGGUCUCAGUUCGGAUUGGAGUCUGCAACUCGACUCCAUGAAGUUGGAAUCGCUAGUAAUCGCGUAUCAGCUACGACGCGGUGAAUACGUUCCCGGGCCUUGUACACACCGCCCGUCACAUGACCCGAGUCGGGUGCACCCGAAGUCGCUGACCGAACCCGCAAGGGACGGAAGCGCCGAAGGUGUGCUUGGUAAGGGGGAUGAAGUCGUAACAAGGUAACC
rnacentral:rRNA from 1 species